CACGUAGGGGGCAAGCGUUGUUCGGAAUUAUUGGGCGUAAAGGGCAUGUAGGCGGCUUUGUAAGCCUGGCGUGAAAUGGUUCGGCUCAACCGAAUCCUGCGUCGGGAACUGCGAGGCUAGAAUCACUGAGGGGGAAUCAGAAUUCCAGGUGUAGGGGUGAAAUCUGUAGAUAUCUGGAAGAAUACCGGUGGCGAAGGCGGAUUCCUGGCAGAUGAUUGACGCUGAGGUGCGAAAGUGCGGGGAGC
rnacentral:rRNA from 1 species